UGGCAGGCUUGAGUCUUGUAGAGGGGGGUAGAAUUCCAGGUGUAGCGGUGAAAUGCGUAGAGAUCUGGAGGAAUACCGGUGGCGAAGGCGGCCCCCUGGACAAAGACUGACGCUCAGGUGCGAAAGCGUGGGGAGCAAACAGGAUUAGAUACCCUGGUAGUCCACGCCGUAAACGAUGUCUACUUGGAGGUUGUGCCCUUGAGGCGUGGCUUCCGGAGCUAACGCGUUAAGUAGACCGCCUGGGGAGUACGGCCGCAAGGUUAAAACUCAAAUGAAUUGACGGGGGCCCGCACAAGCGGUGGAGCAUGUGGUUUAAUUCGAUGCAACGCGAAGAACCUUAC
rnacentral:rRNA from 2 species